GUUUUAAAGGUUAGGAUAAAAAAAAAUUCAUUUCAGAACAAAUUGGUUUAAGAUGUUUUUUUAGUAUUAGGUCAAUGAUAGUAUUUGUGAAUGUGCAUGUGACAAAACUCACCUUCACAGCACAUGGGCCACUCAAGGUGGGGAAGCAGUGGCUUAGGCGGUCAGGCAGGACGUUGAAGAAGGUUGGUUUCUUCCAAACCCAGGGAUGACCGCGGCUUACUGGAAGGCUGUGUUGUAACAGAGGGGGCUUGGGCGUUGGGAUCUGAGCUUGGUUUCUGACCUUCCCGCUGCUCUCAUGUGCCGUGUGCUUUGGCCUCCUUGAGCUUCAGUUUCCUUAUCUGUAAGGUGGGUCUCACGAGCGGGCGGAGGAAAGGAGGUUGGCAUGGCAACCACACUGCCCACUCUGCCUUGUACCCCAGAGAUGCAGGGUCCACACUCUGUUUUCUGCUUGCCAGGGCUCUGAGUUUGCAUUUGGGCGGGAGGAGAAGGUGGAAUACACAGUUCACCGCCCCGGCAGCCUGGUGGAGGAGAAGUGCACUCCGGAGGCCAGAAAAUCGAACAAGCCCAUCUGGCUGCAGUGGCCCGGCAGCUUGAAGCCCACGUUCACGUAUUUCUAGAUAAAGAGUCUGUGGGUCAGAGAGGUCAAGUAAUUUGCCUAAGGUUACACAGCAAGUAAGAGGCAAAUAACAAGAGCGACAUGGAGGGCAGCUGUUAUUACAAAGAGUAGAGCUGGAGAGAAAUUUGUCCUGGGCUUGCUAUUCACGGAAGACCUUCCAAUUCAGACUUGUGAUACCAUCUCUAGUGAGGAUCUUCCAAUUCAGACUUGUGAUACCAUCUCUAGUGAGGAUCUUCCAAUUCAGACUUUUGAUAUCAUCUCUAGUGAGGAUCUUCC